CCCCUUUUAUGUGGGAAGAAAAAGUCGAUCCCUUGUUGAUUUUGCUCGACUUUAGCUAAAUGUCGAUCCCUUGUUGGGUUUACUCGACUUUUGCGAAAUGUCGAUCCCUUGUUGAGUUUGGUCGACUUUUGUCAAAAAGUCGAUUCCUGAUGCUCUUGGUCCAAAAGUCGAUUCCUUGUGCAAAAAAGUCGAACUUGCCAUUUUUUGUCCUUUUGUGCUGUUCUAGGGUCUAUAAAUAGGACUCCUAGGUCCUCCCUUUCCUUCAUCCAUGGCUCUUCUUGUGAGUCUCUUCGCUGAUUUUAUUCAGGGAGAGAUUGAGGAGCUGGAUCGAAUUUUGAAUAUUUUGGAUCCUCGGUCGUCAACCUUGGAUCUUCCUUCUCUGCGCCAGCUCAUUGUUGAGCGGCAGAGUGUUGCUGUUGCUGCUAGGGAAUCCAUUUUUGAAGAAUG
rnacentral:lncRNA from 1 species